rnacentral:tRNA from 1 species
UUGUUACUUUGGCAGAUUAGUGCUUUAAAUUUAGAA